rnacentral:rRNA from 1 species
UACGGGGGGGGCAAGCGUUGUUCGGAAUUACUGGGCGUAAAGGGCUCGUAGGUGGCCAACUAAGUCAUACGUGAAAUCCCUCGGCUUAACCGGGGAACUGCGCCUGAUACUGGUUGGCUUGAGUUUGGGAGAGGGACGCGGAAUUCCAGGUGUAGCGGUGAAAUGCGUAGAUAUCUGGAGGAACACCGGUGGCGAAGGCGGCUUCCUGGACCGACACUGACGCUGAGGCGCGAAAGCUAGGGGAGCAAACGGG